UACAGAGGGGGCAAGCGUUGUUCGGAAUUACUGGGCGUAAAGGGCGCGUAGGCGGCCUUCUAAGUCGAACGUGAAAUCCCCGGGCUCAACCCGGGAACUGCGUCCGAUACUGGAAGGCUUGAAUCCGGGAGAGGGAUGUGGAAUUCCAGGUGUAGCGGUGAAAUGCGUAGAUAUCUGGAGGAACACCGGUGGCGAAGGCGACAUCCUGGACCGGUAUUGACGCGUGAGGCGCGAAAGCCAGGGGACGCAAACGGG
rnacentral:rRNA from 1 species